rnacentral:rRNA from 1 species
AUUGAACGCUGGCGGCAUGCCUUACACAUGCAAGUCGAACGGCAGCACGGGAGCAAUCCUGGUGGCGAGUGGCGAACGGGUGAGUAAUAUAUCGGAACGUGCCCAGUCGUGGGGAUAACGUAGCGAAAGCUACGCUAAUACCGCAUACGAUCUAUGGAUGAAAGCGGGGGAUCGCAAGACCUCGCGCGAUUGGAGCGGCCGAUAUCAGAUUAGGUAGUUGGUGAGGUAAAGGCUCACCAAGCCGACGAUCUGUAGCUGGUCUGAGAGGACGACCAGCCACACUGGGACUGAGACACGGCCCAGACUCCUACGGGAGGCAGCAGUGGGGAAUUUUGGACAAUGGGCGCAAGCCUGAUCCUGCAAUGCCGCGUGCAGGAUGAAGGCCUUCGGUGUAACU